AACGAACGCUGGCGGCAUGCCUAACACAUGCAAGUCGAACGAGACCUUCGGGUCUAGUGGCGCACGGGUGCGUAACGCGUGGGAACCCGCCCUUAGGUUCGGAAUAACUCCCCGAAAGGGGUGCUAAUACCGGAUAAUGUCUUCGGACCAAAGAUUUAUCGCCUUUGGAUGGGCCCGCGUUGGAUUCGCUAGUUGGUAGGGUAAAAGCCUACCAAGGCGACGAUCCAUAGCUGGUCUGAGAGGAUGAUCAGCCACACUGGGACUGAGACACGGCCCAGACUCCUACGGGAGGCAGCAGUGGGGAAUAUUGGACAAUGGGCGAAAGCCUGAUCCAGCAAUGCCGCGUGAGUGAUGAAGGCCUUAGGGUUGUAAAGCUCUUUUACCCGGGAUGAUAAUGACAGUACCGGGAGAAUAAGCACCGGCUAACUCCGUG
rnacentral:rRNA from 1 species